CGAGCGGAAGGCCCUUCGGGGUACUCGAGCGGCGAACGGGUGAGUAACACGUGAGUAACCUGCCCCAGACUUUGGGAUAACCCUCGGAAACGGGGGCUAAUACCGGAUAUGACACUUCACCGCAUGGUGUGGGUGUGGAAAGUUUUUCGGUUUGGGAUGGGCUCGCGGCCUAUCAGCUUGUUGGUGGGGUGAUGGCCUACCAAGGCGACGACGGGUAGCCGGCCUGAGAGGGCGACCGGCCACACUGGGACUGAGACACGGCCCAGACUCCUACGGGAGGCAGCAGUGGGGAAUAUUGCACAAUGGGCGGAAGCCUGAUGCAGCGACGCCGCGUGAGGGAUGACGGCCUUCGGGUUGUAAACCUCUUUCAGCAGGGACGAAGCGACUGGGUUUUCUCAAUCGUGACGGUACCUGCAGAAGAAGCGCCGGCCAACUACGUGCCAGCAGCCGCGGUAAGACGUAGGGCGCGAGCGUUGUCCGGAUUUAUUGGGCGUAAAGAGCUCGUAGGCGGCUUGUCGCGUCGUCUGUGAAAUCCCGCGGCUCAACUGCGGGUCUGCAGGCGAUACGGGCAGGCUAGAGUUCGGUAGGGGAGACUGGAAUUCCUGGUGUAGCGGUGAAAUGCGCAGAUAUCAGGAGGAACACCGGUGGCGAAGGCGGGUCUCUGGGCCGAUACUGACGCUGAGGAGCGAAAGCGUGGGGAGCGAACAGGAUUAGAUACCCUGGUAGUCCACGCUGUAAACGUUGGGCGCUAGGUGUGGGGGGCCUCUCCGGUUCUCUGUGCCGCAGCUAACGCAUUAAGC
rnacentral:rRNA from 1 species